UACAGAGGUCUCAAGCGUUGUUCGGAUUCAUUGGGCGUAAAGGGUGCGUAGGUGGCGCGCUAAGUCAGGUGUGAAAUUUCGGAGCUUAACUCCGAAACUGCAUUUGAUACUGGCGUGCUUGAGGACUGGAGAGGAGACUGGAAUUCAUGGUGUAGCAGUGAAAUGCGUAGAGAUCAUGAGGAAGACCAGUGGCGAAGGCGGGUCUCUGGACAGUUCCUGACACUGAGGCACGAAGGCCAGGGGAGCGAACGGG
rnacentral:rRNA from 1 species